GAUGAACGCUGGCGGCGUGCCUAAUACAUGCAAGUAGAACGCUGAAGCUUGGUGCUUGCACCGAGCGGAUGAGUUGCGAACGGGUGAGUAACGCGUAGGUAACCUGCCCCUUAGCGGGGGAUAACUAUUGGAAACGAUAGCUAAUACCGCAUAAAAGUCGACAUCGCGUGAUGUUGACUUGAAAGGUGCAAUUGCAUCACUAAGAGAUGGACCUGCGUUGUAUUAGCUAGUUGGUGAGGUAACGGCUCACCAAGGCGACGAUACAUAGCCGACCUGAGAGGGUGAUCGGCCACACUGGGACUGAGACACGGCCCAGACUCCUACGGGAGGCAGCAGUAGGGAAUCUUCGGCAAUGGGGGCAACCCUGACCGAGCAACGCCGCGUGAGUGAAGAAGGUUUUCGGAUCGUAAAGCUCUGUUGUAAGAGAAGAACGAGUGUGAGAGUGGAAAGUUCACACUGUGACGGUAACUUACCAGAAAGGGACGGCUAACUACGUGCCAGCAGCCGCGGUAAUACGUAGGUCCCGAGCGUUAUCCGGAUUUAUUGGGCGUAAAGCGAGCGCAGGCGGUUAGAUAAGUCUGAAGUUAAAGGCUGUGGCUUAACCAUAGUACGCUUUGGAAACUGUUUAACUUGAGUGCAGAAGGGGAGAGUGGAAUUCCAUGUGUAGCGGUGAAAUGCGUAGAUAUAUGGAGGAACACCGGUGGCGAAAGCGGCUCUCUGGUCUGUAACUGACGCUGAGGCUCGAAAGCGUGGGGAGCAAACAGG
rnacentral:rRNA from 1 species